CAGCAGCCGCGGUAAUACGUAGGGUGCAAGCGUUAAUCGGAAUUACUGGGCGUAAAGCGUGCGCAGGCGGUUAUAUAAGUCAGAUGUGAAAUCCCCGGGCUCAACCUGGGAACUGCAUUUGAGACUGUAUGGCUAGAGUGUGUCAGAGGGGGGUAGAAUUCCACGUGUAGCAGUGAAAUGCGUAGAUAUGUGGAGGAAUACCGAUGGCGAAGGCAGCCCCCUGGGAUAACACUGACGCUCAUGCGCGAAAGCGUGGGGAGCAGACAGGAUUAGAUACCCCAGUAGUCCCUGUCUCUUAUAC
rnacentral:rRNA from 1 species